rnacentral:rRNA from 1 species
GUGGGGAAUUUUGGACAAUGGGCGCAAGCCUGAUCCAGCCAUUCCGCGUGCAGGAUGAAGGCCUUCGGGUUGUAAACUGCUUUUGUACGGAACGAAAAGCCUCUGGUUAAUACCCGGGGGUCAUGACGGUACCGUAAGAAUAAGCACCGGCUAACUACGUGCCAGCAGCCGCGGUAAUACGUAGGGUGCGAGCGUUAAUCGGAAUUACUGGGCGUAAAGCGUGCGCAGGCGGUGAUGUAAGACAGUUGUGAAAUCCCCGGGCUCAACCUGGGAAUUGCGCUUGUGACUGCAGUGCUGGAGUGCGGCAGAGGGGGAUGGAAUUCCGCGUGUAGCAGUGAAAUGCGUAGAUAUGCGGAGGAACACCGAUGGCGAAGGCAAUCCCCUGGGCCUGCACUGACGCUCAUGCACGAAAGCGUGGGGAGCAAACAGGAUUAGAUACCCGAGUAGUCC